rnacentral:lncRNA from 1 species
GGUCUGUGUCAUGAUCACGGGGGAGCUACUGCCCUACCACAUAGUCUAUGCAGAAACAUGAAGAAAUCCUACAUGGUCUAUAUCACAUAGGUCUCAAGUUUAGAAAAGUACUUCACACAGUUGCACAUAGGAACUAGACUAAAACCUGCACAGUCCGUGUCAAACUGUAAAUUUCACCUAAUUUGAAGUACAUGGGGGCAACAACAAGCGGGAAUAUAAAUACUCAUUAUGCAGACAUUUAGGGUAGGCUAGGCCACCUGAGAGCCGUUAGGAAAAGGAAAAACCCUAGAAUAGACAUUAAAGAGGAACUUUGUAUAUUUUCCUUGGAGGUGUAGAUUUGGGGCUGAAAAAGCAAGCUUCCGAGAAGGUGAUUUCAAGAGAGAAGCAAGAAUCAACAGCUCUAUAAGUGAAUUUGGAGAGCA